AGGACGAACGCUGGCGGCGUGCUUAACACAUGCAAGUCGAGCGGAAAGGCCCUUCGGGGUACUCGAGCGGCGAACGGGUGAGUAACACGUGAGCAACCUGCCCUUAGCUCUUGGAUAGCUCCGGGAAACCGGAAUUAAUACCGGAUACGACCUAGGCCGACAUCGGCCAUGGUGGAAAGUUUUUCGGCUAGGGAUGGACUCGCGGCCUAUCAGCUAGUUGGUGGGGUAAAGGCCUACCAAGGCGACGACGGGUAG
rnacentral:rRNA from 1 species